GUUCAGUUAAUUAAAAUUUAGUUUAUAAAUUUACAUCAACUUACUGUUUAGCAAGUAGACCCCUUUCAACAAAUUACACUUGUCUGUUCCAUCACUUACCGCUGUUACGUUACUGAUAAAAAAAAAGUUCUGUUAAGUUCUCUUUUGUGCAGGUAUUUUAUGAAAGGAACAAUGAAUUCAAGAUCUCGUGUUGAAGCCUGGAGUAUCCCUU